rnacentral:rRNA from 1 species
UACAGAGGGGGCUAGCGUUGUUCGGAAUUACUGGGCGUAAAGGGUGCGUAGGCGGCUCUUUAAGUAAGAUGUGAAAUCCCUUGGCUUAACCAAGGAACUGCAUUUUAAACUGGAGAGCUUGAGUACGGGAGAGGAAAGCGGAAUUCUUCAUGUAAAGGUGAAAUUUGUCGAUAUGAAGAGGAACAUCAAAGGCGAAGGCAGCUUUCUGGAACGUAACUGACGCUGAGGCACGAAAGCGUGGGGAGCAAAC